rnacentral:rRNA from 1 species
GAUGAACGCUGGCGGCGUGCCUAAUACAUGCAAGUCGAGCGAACAGAUAAGGAGCUUGCUCCUUUGACGUUAGCGGCGGACGGGUGAGUAACCCGUGGGUAACCUACCUAUAAGACUGGGAUAACUUCGGGAAACCGGAGCUAAUACCGGAUAACAUUUGGAACCGCAUGGUUCUAAAGUGAAAGAUGGUUUUGCUAUCACUUAUAGAUGGACCCGCGCCGUAUUAGCUAGUUGGUAAGGUAACGGCUUACCAAGGCGACGAUACGUAGCCGACCUGAGAGGGUGAUCGGCCACACUGGAACUGAGACACGGUCCAGACUCCUACGGGAGGCAGCAGUAGGGAAUCUUCCGCAAUAGGCGAAAGCCUGACGGAGCAACGCCGCGUGAGUGAUGAAGGGUUUCGGCUCGUAAAACUCUGUUAUUAGGGAAGAACAAAUGUGUAAGUAACUGUGCACGUCUUGACGGUACCUAAUCAGAAAGCCACGGCUAACUACGUG